rnacentral:rRNA from 1 species
ACUAGUGAUUGUCAAGAAUAAAAAUCUUGGCGAAUAAGUGGUGGGUAAGACCGGUGCCAGCAGCCGCGGUAACACCGGCGCCACGAGUGGGGAUCAUGUUUAUUGGGCCUAAAGCGUCCGUAGCCGGUUUGAUAAAUCUUUUGUGAAAUUGUCGUGCUUAACACAACAGCGUGCAAAAGACACUAUCAGACUUGGAACUGGGAGGAGUCAGAGGUAUUCUGGGGGGAGCGGUAAAAUGUUAUAAUCCUCAGAGGACCACCUGUGGCGAAGGCGUCUGACUAGAACAGCUUCGACGGUGAGGGACGAAAGCCAGGGGAGCAAAACGGAUUAGAUACCCGAGUAGUCCUGGCUGUAAACGCUGCGAGCAAGGUGUUGCAUAUCCUCCGUGGAUGUGCAGUAUCGAAACGAAGGUGUUAAGCUCGCCGCCUGGGAAGUAUAGUCGCAAGACCGAAACUUAAAGGAAUUGGCGGGGGAGCACCACAAGGGGUGCGGCGUGCGGUUUAAUCUAACUCAACACAGAGAAUCUCACCAGCAGCGACGGCAGAAUGAAGGUCAGAUUGAAGGUUUUACCAGACAAGCCGAGAGGUGGUGCAUGGCCGUCGUCAGCUCGUGCCGUAAGGUGUCCUGUUAAGUCAGGCAACGAGCGAGACCUGUACCUACACUUGCUAGCGAAUCUUUUAAGAUGUUCGAGCACAGUGUAGGGACUGCCUUCGAAAGGAGGAGGAAGGUGCAGGCUACGGUAGGUCUGUAUGCCCCGAAUCUGCUGGGCUACACGCGCGCAACAAGGGUAAGGACAAUGGGACGCGACUCUGAAAAGAGAAGCUAAUCCUCGAAACCUUAUCUAAGUCCAGAUUGAGGAUUGUAACUCAUCCUCAUGACGAUGGAAUCCCUAGUAACCAGAAGUCAUCAGCUUCUAGUGAAUAUGUCCCUGCUCCUUGCACGAAUUCGCCGAAUCCCGCG